rnacentral:sRNA from 1 species
UAACAGAGGACUUACAGUUGCUAAAAGA